rnacentral:rRNA from 1 species
AGAGUUCGAUCGUGGCUCAGGAUAAACGCUAGCGGCGCGCCUAAUGCAUGCAAGUCGAGCGAUAAGGCCCUUCGGGGUACAUAAGCGGCAGACGGGUGAGUAACACGUGGGCGACCUGCCCCAAAGCCGGGGAUAACGACUGGAAACGGUUGCUAAUACCCGAUAUGCUCAGUGAUUCAAUUUGCUGAGUAAAGUUCUGGCGCUUUGGGAGGGGCCCGCGGCCCAUCAGCUAGUUGGUAAGGUAACGGCCUACCAAGGCAUUGACGGGUAGGGGGCGUGAGAGCGCGACCCCCCACACUGGCACUGAGACACGGGCCAGACUCCUACGGGAGGCAGCAGCAGGGAAUUUUGCACAAUGGACGAAAGUCUGAUGCAGCGACGCCGCGUGGGCGAUGAAGGCCUUCGGGUUGUAAAGCCCUUUUCUGGGGGAAGAGAGAGGACGGUACCUCAGGAAUAAGCGUCGGCUAACUACGUGCCAGCAGCCGCGGUAAUACGUAGGACGCAAGCGUUAUCCGGAUUCACUGGGCGUAAAGCGCCUGCAGGCGGUCUUGUAAGUUGGGUGUGAAAGCCCCAGGCUUAACCUGGGGAGGCCAUUCAAUACUGCGAGACUUGAGGACGGAAGAGGGAAGCGGAAUUCCCGGUGUAGCGGUAAAAUGCGCAGAUAUCGGGAGGAACACCAGUGGCGAAGGCGGCUUCCUGGUCCGUUCCUGACGCUCGGAGGCGAAAGCUAGGGGAGCAAACAGGAUUAGAGACCCUGGUAGUCCUAGCCCUAAACAAUGGAUGCUGGGUGUGGGGGUGAAUAGCCUCUGUGCCGAAGCUAACGCGUUAAGCAUCCCGCCUGGGGACUACGGCCGCAAGGUUAAAACUCAAACGAAUUGACGGGGCCCCGCACAAGCAGCGGAGCGUGUGGUUUAAUUCGAUGUUACACGAAGAACCUUACCUGGGUUUGACAUGCACGUGGUAGGGAUCCGAAAGGUGACCGACCCUUCGGGGAGCGCGCAAAGGUGCUGCAUGGCUGUCGUCAGCUCGUGCCGUGAGGUGUCGGGUUAAGUCCCGUAACGAGCGCAACCCUUACUCUUAGUUAUAAGUAUCUAAGGGGACUGCCAGCGACGAGCUGGAGGAAGGCGGGGACGACGUCAAGUCAGCAUGGCCCUUAUGCCCAGGGCUACACACACGCUACAAUGGCCAGUACAAUGGGCAGCUAAGCCGUGAGGUGGAGCGAAUCCCAUCAAAGCUGGUCUCAGUUCGGAUUGCAGGCUGCAACCCGCCUGCAUGAAGCUGGAGUUGCUAGUAACCGCGCGUCAGCUAUAGUGCGGUGAAUACGUUCCCGGGGCUUGUACACACCGCCCGUCACGUCAUGGGAGUCGGCAAUGCCUGAGGCCGGCAGCUUAGCCCGCAAGGGAGGGCGCCGUCGAGGGCAGGGCUGGCGACUGGGACGAAG